GAUGAACGCUGGCGGCGUGCCUAAUACAUGCAAGUCGAGCGAACAGACGAGGAGCUUGCUCCUCUGACGUUAGCGGCGGACGGGUGAGUAACACGUGGAUAACCUACCUAUAAGACUGGGAUAACUUCGCGAAACCGGAGCUAAUACCGGAUAAUAUAUUGAACCGCAUGGUUCAAUAGUGAAAGACGGUUUUGCUGUCACUUAUAGAUGGAUCCGCGCCGCAUUAGCUAGUUGGUAAGGUAACGGCUUACCAAGGCAACGAUGCGUAGCCGACCUGAGAGGGUGAUCGGCCACACUGGAACUGAGACACGGUCCAGACUCCUACGGGAGGCAGCAGUAGGGAAUCUUCCGCAAUGGGCGAAAGCUUGACGGAGCAACGCCGCGUGAGUGAUGAAGGUCUUCGGAUCGUAAAACUCUGUUAUUAGGGAAGAACAAAUGUGUAAGUAACUAUGCACGUCUUGACGGUACCUAAUCAGAAAGCCACGGCUAACUACGUG
rnacentral:rRNA from 1 species